UUGGAAUAUUGUCAUUGUUAGUUCAAGAAUGUGAUGGUUUAUCAGACAAAAUCAUCGAGUAGAGCUAAUAGGUAGAAUGAAUCUGCUUAUGGUUUAUUAUGUGAUGGUAUUGUUGGAAGGUAGAUAGCUUUGUUUAUACAGCAUCUAUUUCUUGUGGUUUAAUUUUUAGUUAUAUUCCAUUAUUCUAAUGUACACCCUCUAAUUUGACUUUUAUUUGCUCAAAUUAAACCAGUGAAAAAUUGUCUUUAUUCUCUUUGUUGUUUCUAGCCUGAAGUUCUCAAGAUCUUUUCUCUGUUGAUCCCCCCAAAAAAGUCAUUUCAUCUUAAAUAAGAGAAAUUUUUGUUUGUAAAGAAAGAUUCUUUCUGGAAUUUCAUUCAUGGCUAUUGUGGGUAGGGUGGUUAUUGUGGGCUGAGCAAAGUUUGUACUCUUUUUAUGUGUUAUUAACUUUUGAUGGGUAUUUGGGUUUGUUCACAAUCCCAAGAGAGUUCAUGGGGUCCUUCAAAUUUUUUACCAGAAGAAAGCAAGUUGAUUCUGUAGAAGUCGAAACCAAGGGUCUCCUUGCCAAGGAGUUAACUGUUCCUCAUCUAAUUGCAAUUGGUGUUGGUUCAGCAAUUGGUGCUGGAGUGUAUGUUCCUGUUGGACCGAUUACAAGAGAGGAAGCAGCUGCAGAAGGGAAGGAAAAAGUAGGAAAGGAGGACAAGGAAGAGAAAGCGGCCAGAGCUUAUGAUCUCGCUGCUCUUUCAUUUCUGUUGGUGGGAAUAGCAGCUGCUCUUUCAUCAUUUUGUUAUAUGCAGAACUUGCAAGUUGCUGCCCUUCUGCUGAGAGUACAUAUCACUAUUCAUACAUAUGCCUUGGAGAAGGUUUCCUCUUCUGUCCAAAAGCACAUGCUUGCAGAAGUUGGUUAGUGGCACCAAUGAGGAGAACAAUGAUGAAGUUUACAUCCAUGACAUUCCUGGAGGACCUGUUGCAUUUGAGAUAUGUGUCAAGUUCUAUUAUGUGAUAUGUUGCAGUUGGUGGAAUUUAAUGGAGGUUCUCAUCUCGAAUUUAACCUUCUUAGAUUCUCCAUUUUGGAAUAUCCAUAUCCUAUAUAUUUCAGAGUGUUCUGAUUGAACCAACAAGUGAAAAUACUAGCAUCGGAUUAGCUUUCAUGGCCGCAGCCAAGGGUUACAAGCACAAAAUUAUAUUGCCUGCUUCGAUGAAUCUCGAAAGAGGAAUCACUCUGCUGGCUUUUGGGGCUGAGUUGGUUCUAACAGACCCUGCAAAGGGAAUGAAAAGAAGCCCUUCAGAAGGCUGAAGAGAUUAUGGCUAAGACUCCUAAUUCCUACACGCCUCAGCAAUUUGUGUAUAUAAUGUAGAUUUACUCUUAAAUUCUUUUUUUCCUUGUAGUA